CGGCGGAAUCCGAAAAGCCUCAACAGAGUAGGAA
rnacentral:ncRNA from 1 species